rnacentral:rRNA from 1 species
GUGGGGAAUAUUGGACAAUGGGCGAAAGCCUGAUCCAGCCAUGCCGCGUGUGUGAAGAAGGUCUUCGGAUUGUAAAGCACUUUAAGUUGGGAGGAAGGGUUGUAGAUUAAUACUCUGCAAUUUUGACGUUACCGACAGAAUAAGCACCGGCUAACUUCGUGCCAGCAGCCGCGGUAAUACGAAGGGUGCAAGCGUUAAUCGGAAUUACUGGGCGUAAAGCGCGCGUAGGUGGUUCGUUAAGUUGGAUGUGAAAGCCCCGGGCUCAACCUGGGAACUGCAUCCAAAACUGGCGAGCUAGAGUACGGUAGAGGGUGGUGGAAUUUCCUGUGUAGCGGUGAAAUGCGUAGAUAUAGGAAGGAACACCAGUGGCGAAGGUGACCACCUGGACUGAUACUGACACUGAGGUGCGAAAGCGUGGGGAGCAAACAGGAUUAGAUACCCCUGUAGUCC